rnacentral:rRNA from 1 species
AGUGAACGCUGGCGGUAGGCCUAACACAUGCAAGUCGAGCGGCAGCACAGUAAGAGCUUGCUCUUACGGGUGGCGAGUGGCGGACGGGUGAGGAAUACAUCGGAAUCUACUUUUUCGUGGGGGAUAACGUAGGGAAACUUACGCUAAUACCGCAUACGACCUACGGGUGAAAGCAGGGGAUCUUCGGACCUUGCGCGAUUGAAUGAGCCGAUGUCGGAUUAGCUAGUUGGCGGGGUAAAGGCCCACCAAGGCGACGAUCCGUAGCUGGUCUGAGAGGAUGAUCAGCCACACUGGAACUGAGACACGGUCCAGACUCCUACGGGAGGCAGCAGUGGGGAAUAUUGGACAAUGGGAGCAAGCCUGAUCCAGCCAUACCGCGUGGGUGAAGAAGGCCUUCGGGUUGUAAAGCCCUUUUGUUGGGAAAGAAAAGCAGCAGGUUAAUACCCCGCUGUUCUGACGGUACCAAAAGAAUAAGCACCGGCUAACUUCGUG